ensembl:lncRNA
AUAAAAGUCAAAUUACUUCUAAUAAUAAUUAUAGGAUGGUAGUAACAUUAAUAGUUUAAUUUACUGAAAUUAUACAAUAUUGUUUAUUAUACUAUAAUAGUAUAUAAACUGAAGUUUUCCUCAAUGCAAAUGCAUAAAAAUCUUUAAAAAUUAAAACUUUAACGGUUUCAAGACAUCAUCUAAUCUCUGUCUGUAAAUAUGAAUGUGAAAUGAUUUCUGCUGCUGAUAUUUGAUGAAGGGAAUUUUCUGGGAUUCGCUGAUGGCUGCUGUAUAAAGUCGCUCCUGUUGUUCUCUCAGAAAGCAGAUAUCAUCUUCAAACCAUUGUGAAAGUGUUUUCAGUAUUUCAGUUUCAUUUUACACAGAGUAACAUGAGAUCUGUGGCAUUCUCUGUGUAAUGAACUCAAUCAGCACUGCGGCAGGUGAAGAUCAUGACCAGUCUGUCGUCGUAGGGUCUUAUGUGUGUGUUUGUGUGCAGAUAUCAUCUGGAGAUCAGUGGAAGCACAGCAAAGCACAAGAACAGCAUGCUGAGAAGAUCUUCAGACAGCAGAGCCUUCCAGAAUCCAGACGAGACGCAUCUAGAGCUUCUGGAGCACAGCGGCAGCGUCUCACGCAGAUCCAUGACUAUAGAGGAGGAGGAGGGUUCGGCUCGGCCCGAUGGAUCCGGCGUUCGUAAUAGCUUCAAGAGCCACAACAAAACCUUCCACAAACUCUUCCCUGAGAUCCCAGAGACGGAGGAUCUGGAACACGGUGAGUUUCCACUGGAAGAUAAUCCACAGUGAGCUCUCGUCACGUCUCAGGUAUUUCUCACAGUCUGUAAUGAGAGUAAAUGAAGUCUUGUGUUUCUCAGAUGUUUCUAGCGUAUCUGAAGAGUGUCAGUGAUGUCUCACACUGUGCUCAGCUCAGAACGAGGUUUUCAACAAACGUUAUUCCAGGAACAUUAAGAAAACAUUCAUUCUGAGUUACCAUAAUGUUCUCAAAGUGUCAGCACAAAAUCAUUCACGGAACAUUUUUGUUCUGAAGUGUCUUAGUUCAAAAGUAACGUUCUGGUAAUGUUUGAAAAUGAUGAAAUUAAAUAUUCCCUUAACAUCAAGAAAACAACAUUUUUUAAAACAUAAAAGAACAUUCUGAAAUAAUGCUUCCAUAACUUUAGAAAAACGUUCUUAGAACAUAUUUCUGUGAGCAGUCAGCGAUCUCAGACGUGUCUCUUCAUAUCUCUAUACUCUCUCUGAACGACCGCAGGUCUGUUUUUACUUCCCUGAUGAGGUCUAUUCAACGUGAAACUAUCAGAAGAGAACAGAUCCUGACCUGAUCUGUUGAGCUGGAAUCGAGUUUGUUUUAUAAUGGGUGAAUUUACAAUAUUAACACUGCUGUUUUCAUGUUUAUUGUGAAGCUUUGAAACGGCACUGAAAGACAUGAUAUGAUCAAGAAGUCAUGGUAGCAUGUUUUUACACUAACUCAAAAUAAUCUGACCAAUGUCAACUCAGUUUUAAAGGUAUUUAAAGUUUUAUACAGCCAGUUUGAUGACUCUUAAAAACUGACGGCAGCAGCUGAACUUGCACUGAAGUAGGUGGAGAUUGUAUAAAGCGCUACAGAAAUGAACAGGACUUGAGUUGAAACUGAAUGCUCAGUAAAGCAGGACAGUGUUUGAGGCAUCUGAUGUUUCAGUGCACAGCUGCG